UGCCAUGCUUUUCUCCUCCAGUAGAGGGCCCUCACAGCUAACUGUUCUAACGUCUGUGUCUGCUUCUAUAGAGCCACUCACCAGCACAGAACAACUCACCCGGAGCUUCUUGAAGACAAGUCCAAGCAGAAGAGGGAGUCGCAGAUCCACCAAGAAGCCCUGAAACAGCAGGUGUGCAUACAAACCCACCUGCUUUCCCUGUAAUAUUGUUUAAGAAGUCUCAAAGAGAAAACCCUUUUUAAACUUCUUUUUGUCUAGAUCAAAGAAAGAGAGGAGCGUAAAAGAAUAGAAAAAGAAGAGAUAGCGCAAUAUGAAGCAAAGCUAGAGGUGGAAAGGAUGACAUACAACCCCUGGGGGAGAGGCGGAGGAGGUGCUCCCAUUAAAGACCAUAACGGGAACCUUAUUAAUAAUUUGACACUAAUGCACAGAGCCAAUAUGGCAUCAUACAGGAAUCCUGCGCCCUCUGCUGCAGCUGAAGUUAUGACUGCAGACCACGUCUCAGGUAGUGUUCUUUCUGUCAUAGUGUGCCAAAGCUUUGGCAAACUGCCUCCUUCCCUGUACUGUAAGCUGAGUAAUAUAUUUUAGGACUGUACUUGCAGGUUUGAGUGAUCAGCCACCUACACAGAAGCUCCACAUGCAGGACAGCUACUACGAAGAACUGCAAUGGCAGAUAGAGGAAAAGAGGAGAAUACAAGCAGAGGAGAGACAGCGUAUGAAGAUUGAGGAGGAGAAAGAAGAGAAAAGGCUGGCUGAGCAGAUGCAGCAAAUGCAGCAUGAAUAUGAGGAGGAGCAAAGGAAACGUAACAACGUGGAUCAUAAAAAGAAACGUUUUAUGACAGAGGAAAAGACUGUGAGGCAGGAAAAAAAGCCUAUGGAGGAGACUCAGAGCACCCC
rnacentral:lncRNA from 1 species